UUAUGCAUCUUUCACACUAGCUUUUCACCCUAAUAAAUUAUACCUCAAAGACUUACCUAGAUAGAUCCCCAAAGAUAAAGGGGUGCAUUCUUUCCAUUCACCCUUUUAUAUAUAUAUAUACACAUCCACUUCCUAUACUUAAUUUCAAGUACUUGUGUGUAUUCUUAUAAGUUCUAGAUCUAGGACAGAUGUGAAGAAUACUGGAUCGUGAACCACUAGCAGCUGAAGCUGCCAGCAUGAUCUAAACUUUUCUAUUGCUCCGUACGAGGAAAGAUCAGAUCAUGUGGCAGCAUCACCUGUUGAUGGUUUCGCGGAAUUUCUAUCUCCCUUCAUUCACCAAACUCCCAACUCUCAAUUCAAGUCAAGAUAGAAAAAGAAGAGGAAGAGCUAGCUGGGAUCUCUAAUUUGAUUGCUUAAGGUAAAAAUAUGGAUAUGAUUUGAGAUUAAUUAAUAUAUAUGUAGAUUAUUUUUUCUUCACAUGUCGACCAUAUAUAUAUAUACGUUGAAAAUAGUAAACUUUUAAGUCAUGUCUAGAUAAUAUGUCUUUUUGUUAUCCUAAAUGCAUGAUUUUUUGUGUUAUAUAUGAAGAUAACUUUUAUGGUACUAAUGUGAUUAGAUUCAAGUGUAUGUAUAAAUACUUCUAAUUUAUAGGUGUGAUUUCAAAAGACUAUUAGUACCUGUAAAAGGAUAUUAUGUAUUUGCUCUGUCCAACAAUAGUUGUUUACUAUUGACUUGACACACUUUAUUACUUUUAACUUUAUUAAAUUUUAUGCUUUGAGAAAUGUGUUAUAUGAAUAGACACAAAAAACAAUUAUCUCUUCAUUUUCUGAACUGAACAAGUGUUGUUGGACGGAGGGAGUAAGAGUGAAGUUUUUC